rnacentral:tRNA from 1 species
GCCGGCUUAGCUCAAUUGGCAGAGCAACUGAUUUGUAAUCAGUAGGUUGUAGGUUCGAUUCCUAUAGCUGGCACCA